rnacentral:sRNA from 1 species
AAGGUUCGGCUCGAGCGUCAGCGAGAGAGCGUUGCCGCAGGCAACGACCCGAAGGGCGAAGCGCGCAGCGCUGAGUAAUCCUUCCCCCACCACCA